UUGGAGGGCAAGUCUGGUGCCAGCAGCCGCGGUAAUUCCAGCUCCAAUAGCGUAUAUUAAAGUUGUUGCAGUUAAAAAGCUCGUAGUUGAAUUUCGGGAUCAAUUUAUCGGUCGUGCCAAUGGUAUGAACUGGUACAAUUGGUCUCUCCCUUCUGAAGAACCAUGAUGUCAUUAAUUUGGUGUUGUGGGGAAUCAGGACUGUUACUUUGAAAAAAUUAGAGUGUUUAAAGCAGGCUUAGGCUUGAAUACAUUAGCAUGGAAUAAUGAAAUAGGACGCUUUGAUCCUAUUUCGUUGGUUUCUAGGAUCGACGUAAUGAUUAAUAGGGAUAGUUGGGGGCAUUAGUAUUCAAUUGUCAGAGGUGAAAUUCUUGGAUUUAUUGAAGACUAACUACUGCGAAAGCAUUUGCCAAGGAUGUUUUCAUUAAUCAAGAACGAAAGUUAGGGGAUCGAAGACGAUCAGAUACCGUCGUAGUCUUAACCAUAAACUAUGCCGACUAGGGAUCGGAUGAUGUUAAUUUUUAAAUGACUCAUUCGGCGCCUUACGGGAAAC
rnacentral:rRNA from 1 species